GAUGAACGCUAGCGGCAGGCUUAAUACAUGCAAGUCGUGGGGCAGCGCAGUGUAGCAAUACAUGGGCGGCGACCGGCAAACGGGUGCGGAACACGUACGCAACCUUCCUUUAAGUGGGGGAUAGCCCAGGGAAACUUGGAUUAAUACCCCGUAACAUUAUGAGAUGGCAUCAUUUUAUAAUUAAAGCUUCGGCGCUUAAAGAUGGGCGUGCGUCUGAUUAGGUAGUUGGCGGGGUAACGGCCCACCAAGCCUACGAUCAGUAACUGGUGUGAGAGCACGACCAGUCACACGGGCACUGAGACACGGGCCCGACUCCUACGGGAGGCAGCAGUAAGGAAUAUUGGUCAAUGGACGCAAGUCUGAACCAGCCAUGCCGCGUGAAGGAUGAAGGUCCUCUGGAUUGUAAACUUCUUUUACCUGGGAAGAAACCCAUAUUUUCUAAUGUGGUUGACGGUACCAGAUGAAUAAGCACCGGCUAACUCCGUGCCAGCAGCCGCGGUAAUACGGAGGGUGCAAGCGUUAUCCGGAUUCACUGGGUUUAAAGGGUGCGUAGGUGGGCAGGUAAGUCAGUGGUGAAAUCUCCGGGCUUAACCCGGAAACUGCCAUUGAUACUAUUU
rnacentral:rRNA from 1 species